GAUGAACGCUGGCGGCGUGCUUAACACAUGCAAGUCGAACGGAAAGGCCUCAGCUUGCUGGGGUACUCGAGUGGCGAACGGGUGAGUAACACGUGGGUGAUCUGCCCUGCACUUUAGGAUAAGCUUGGGAAACUGGGUCUAAUACCGAAUAUGACCACUUCUUGGAUGUUGUGGUGGAAAGCGUUUGCGGUGUGGGAUGAGCCUGCGGCCUAUCAGCUUGUUGGUGGGGUAAUGGCCUACCAAGGCGGCGACGGGUAUCCGGCCUGGGAGGGUGUACGGACACAUUGGGACUGAGAUACGGCCCAGACUCCUACGGGAGGCAGCAGUGGGGAAUAUUGCACAAUGGGCGCAAGCCUGAUGCAGCGACGCCGCGUGGGGGAUGAAGGCCUUCGGGUUGUAAACUCCUUUCGCUAUCGACGAAGCCACUUGUGGUGACGGUAGGUAGAUAAGAAGCACCGGCUAACUACGUGCCAGCCGCCGCAGUAA
rnacentral:rRNA from 1 species